rnacentral:lncRNA from 1 species
ACAGAGCACAGAAUUGCUUCUAAAGUCAGCCCGGCGCAGUUGCAAUAGACAGCAAAAAGGUAAACGUUUGCCUGAAAUCCGCACGCCAGCUUCACCACCCCGCCCGAUGGUUCUGUAACAAUCAAGAACACGUGGACACCUACCUGUGGGAGGAGGCUUGGGGGAAACACUGUUUCUGGUUGCUGCUGAAGCCAGCAUUCUGGAGAUGGACAGCUGCUCAAGGAAAUGAAGGGAGAUUUUGUAAAUUGCAGAUUCUAAGCAGGAAGACUCAACCAAGAAUACAUGCUUAGAAGAAAACUGUUUCAAGCAUCCCCAUUUACGUGGAUGUAUCUGCACAGUCCUCCCUUUCCACAAACACCAACACUGAAGCCCCGAUGCUGGGAGGCUCUGAAUUAAGACCCUGGAGAAGAACUGCCAAGGGGAUUUACUUUUAAGGAAGCCCAUGAUCCUAUAAGAGUGAUCAUCAGUGUAAAUCAAAUCAAACGACUUGGAUGCUCUCUCCGGCUCUCAAUCUCCAACACCCAGAAGAGGUGUCAUAUGGCGGUUUUUUCCUCUGCACCACAUCUUCCAACUAUGAUGUCUAUCAUCAAAAAGUCCAGAGCAAUGAGACAGAUACCACCAUAACUCCCAGCAUAAAGAGAAAGCAUGACCCUAGACGUGGAGUGAAUUGAGUGUGCAGGUUCCUACGAGUUCACUGCGGUUCCAGUGGGGAUUGGGCAGGCUCCAAGCACUAAAUAACCCUAAUGAUAUCAGGACUGGUCCUGUUUGCUCCAUCUUAACAUUGUUGGUUAACAGUGGACUCUGACUUUCAUGAGGAUGACUGGACAUCCACUGGGACUCCAGGAGGCUGCCCUUCGCUGCUUUGACUUUGUUCUGUCAGACUUGAUAAGAUUUUGACUUCCUGUUAAAACCUGCCAUCGGGUGUUCAGCAGGAGAGUGAGAGAGUGUCAAGCACACUGUACCAGCAUCAGAGGCUGAGCCUGCCAGCAGAGCUGACUCUGAUGGACACGUGCUUCCUAGGGCUCCUGAUGCAGCUGCUAUCUGCAGACCUCCUGGACUGCCCGGGGAAGGGAGUGGGAGCUCCUGCCACAGAUGGGUGGAACAUCGACAAGAAGGGCUAAAGGUGGCCAAAAAUAACAGUGCCUUCCAGAUGAGGUGACCUCAGAGCCAAGAGCAUCAUGGGGUAGAGUAUCUUGUUCCCAGUUUUAUGACCUAAAAAGUACACAGAAGAUGCAAAGAUACUACAGAGAGAAGGAACAAAGUCUGCAGAGAACAGGGAAAGGCGAUUACGUAUCAUAUUUUUUUAAAUAGGAUUUUGUUGUACAUGACCACAAAAGAAAACACAGCCUUUUAUACAUGUUUGAAGAGAGAGCUAGAGCUAUAGAUAGAAAAAUGAUAGAUAGAUUAAUAGAUAGAUGGUCAAUAGAUAGAUGAUCAAUAGAUAGAUAAGUAGGUAGGUAGAUAGAUGAUAGACAGAACCAAACACAAUAGAAGACCAAAAGGAGAAAAAGAUAGAGAUGAUAUUGCCUUCCUUUGUUUGCUAUUGAAACAAACUUAAUAAAUCCUCAUUGAGACUCAA